GACGAACGCUGGCGGCGUGCUUAACACAUGCAAGUCGAGCGGUAAGGCCCUUUCGGGGGUACACGAGCGGCGAACGGGUGAGUAACACGUGGGUGACCUGCCCUCAGCUCUGGGAUAAGCCUGGGAAACCGGGUCUAAUACUGGAUAUGACUCCAUGACGCAUGUUGUGGUGUGGAAAGCCUUGUGCGGCUGAGGAUGGGCCCGCGGCCUAUCAGCUUGUUGGUGGGGGAUGGCCUACCAAGGCGACGACGGGUAGCCGGCCUGAGAGGGCGACCGGCCACACUGGGACUGAGACACGGCCCAGACUCCUACGGGAGGCAGCAGUGGGGAAUCUUGCGCAAUGGGCGAAAGCCUGACGCAGCGACGCCGCGUGAGGGAUGACGGCCUGGUGUAAC
rnacentral:rRNA from 1 species